AGGGACGAAAGUGAGGGAUAAAGGGGGCAUUGGGUACUUCGAGUGGAACCGACUCUAUUGGGUUUUUGCUUUUGUUUUUGGCGUAAUGAUGUUAAAAGAAAGCUCAAGAUACCUAAGUUGUCUUCUGUUCCAGAGAGCUUAUUGUUUGUCAAAGAAUCAGUUUUUUAAAUGAUGUUGGUAGGCUUGGCCUUUUGCAAUACCAAGGCAAGAGACAAUGAGGGCA
rnacentral:lncRNA from 1 species